GUAUUACUAGGAGUUCCCUUCAAACACUUUAUGAAGCGCCUUUUUGAGACCUUAUGUGAAGUGUUUGGGGGAACACUUAGUGCAAU
rnacentral:pre_miRNA from 2 species